GGGUAUAGCUCAGUGGUAGAGCACAUGCUUAGCAUGCAUGAGAUCCUGGAUUCAAUCCCCAGUUAUAUCCA
rnacentral:tRNA from 1 species